rnacentral:rRNA from 1 species
UACGUAGGGGGCAAGCGUUGUCCGGAAUCAUUGGGCGUAAAGAGCGUGUAGGCGGCUCGGUAAGUCCGCUGUGAAAGUCCAGGGCUCAACCCUGGAAUGCCGGUGGAAACUGUCGAGCUAGAGUCCGGAAGAGGCGAGUGGAAUUCCUGGUGUAGCGGUGAAAUGCGCAGAUAUCAGGAGGAACGCCUGUGGUGUAGACGGCUCUCUGGACCAUUACUGACACUGAGGUACGAAAGCGUGGGUAGCAAACAGG